CCUACGGUAGGCAGCAGUGGGGAAUAUUGGACAAUGGGGGGAACCCUGAUCCAGCGACGCCGCGUGAGUGAAGAAGUAUUUCGGUAUGUAAAGCUCUAUCAGCAGGGAAGAAAGAAAUGACGGUACCUGACUAAGAAGCCCCGGCUAACUACGUGCCAGCAGCCGCGGUAAUACGUAGGGGGCAAGCGUUAUCCGGAUUUACGGGGUGUAAAGGGAGCGUAGACGGCGAUGCAAGUCUGAAGUGAAAGGCGGGGGCCCAACCCCCGGACUGCUUUGGAAACUGUAUGGCUGGAGUGCAGGAGAGGUAAGUGGAAUUCCUAGUGUAGCGGUGAAAUGCGUAGAUAUUAGGAGGAACACCAGUGGCGAAGGCGGCUUACUGGACUGUAACUGACGUUGAGGCUCGAAAGCGUGGGGAGCAAACAGGAUUAGAUACCCCAGUAGUC
rnacentral:rRNA from 1 species